CACCGGCAGCUGGGGCGUGGCGCCCGCCGCCCACACGGGCUGAGGCAGCCUGGUUGGUCCCCGACUUUUCGCUAGCGGCCGAGCUUCUAAGCGUCCGGGAAGGUGCUGCAGAUUCCUUUGCAAAGUUGCUUGAGAGGCCCAGGAGACCCAUGAUGUAAUCUUCAGAAAAGAACAGAAGAAAAUGUCGGAGAGAAACACAGAGAAAAAGAGUCAGUCCAGGACCUGGAUGUGGAAACAGCUAGGGAGAUAGCCCUCAGAACAAGUUGCUGAAAUCUUAUUGGCUCCUCAACUCACGUGUAAGGAAUGAAACUCAAAGAGAUGAAAUUGCUGCUUCAAGAUGACACAGCAGAUUUGAGCCCGACCUCCCUCUGCCUCCAAAUUCUGUGAUCACCAUGGGUAGAAGCUCAAGGUUUACUCUCGGACCCAAGAUCAAGGAAGUGCCUCCAAAUUCUGUGAUCACCAUGGGUAGAAGCUCAAGGUUUACUCUCGGACCCAAGACCAAGGAAGUGGAUAAAAGUAAGAUUCCAGGUUCUGGAACUGGGUCUUUCCUGGACCACCAUGAAGCAGCCUCUUGGAGCCAUCUUUGCUCCUUAUUAUGACAAAACCACAGCAAGGGAUUGUUACUGUGUUUACCUUAUGCCUGGCACUGUGCUAAAGGCUUUGCAUAUAUUACUACAUUUAAUCCUUGGCAACCCCAUGAAGUGGCUGCUUUAUUUUUCUCCAUUAUCUAAAUGAGAAAAGUAUGACUUAGAUACUUAUCUAAAAAAACAAAACAAAACAACAGAAAAAACCACACAAUGAGUUAGUGGCAGAGUCCAGACUUGAACCCAGGUCAGCUUCUUGAGAGAGCCCAUGUUCUCCUGUUGAGCUUCAUAACCCACUGCAAGCCUUCCUCUAAGAAAAUGGUUAGAAGUCUGUUUUUUAAAUCUGGGAUAGCUAUUUCUAGGAUUUUGGGUAUCACACAUCAGCUUUUUCAGGGGCCUUCCUCUUCCCUCUGGCUCAAAGCCAUACUGAUUAAAUGAAACAGUAUGAUGACUACUUGUUCCUUCUGUGAUUCUCCUCAUUUCCUCAACCUUAUCUUCUUCAUGCUCAAAUAUUAGCAAUCCAUUGAAAUUGUUUUAAAUCUGUUAUCAUUUAGCUUUAGUAUAAAAUCCUAGAAAACAAGAAUUUUAUAGUAAAAGGAGCAGCAGAGUAGAAACAAUGUCAAAAUUAAAAUCUGAAAAUCUGAUUUCCAGUUCUAAUUCUGCCCCUUUCUAGGUAUAUGUGCUUGGUCAAGCCUUUUCAACUGGUUUGAGGUAUCUAUUUUCUUAACCUUCAGUAGUCAGUGACAGUUUCCCUUCCUUGUGCCUCCCCUUACAGAACACAUGGAAGAUUAAACCAGUUUAGUCAAUAAUUCAGUAAAAACAAACAAAACAGCCCUAAACACCAGUGUCCUGAAUUCUCUCACUUUUAAAUCAACUUCUAAGAAAACCCUCAGAGUAAUGUGUAAGAAUAUUUUAAGAACUUCAUUGAUUUGUCUCUGGACAAUUAAGCCCAAGUGAUCAAUUUUUGAUUUUCAGAUUUUGAUUUCGAAUAGAGGAUAGUUUUUCUUUAAAUAGCAGCAGUGUACCAAUCUCUUUAAAUAAAAAGUGGAUAUUUAAGACAUACUUAGGGAAAUGAUUCUUGAACACCUUUCCCUCCCUUUCAGCCUAUGAACUAUAAUUGUGACAGUUAAGUAGGUGUAUACUCUGUAGCUGUUAUGAGAGCCUUGGUUCCUGAUUUCACUACCAACACACAUGUUAAGAAAAAGCCAUGAAUAUUUUCCUUCCUCAGUCUCCCCCACAGUUCUUUACUUCUGGUUCUAAAUAGUAUCCAUGUUUCUUGCCAUGACAGAUUAUACCUAGAAUCACUUUGACCUUGGCCAGAGCAAAUAGAAAAUUAAUGAAAUGGAGCUGACCCCUUACUUCUGAAUGAUAGAACUAACACAACGUUCACCUUUCCCCGUAAGUACUUUUGCCCCAGGCCUCAAUUCUUUCUUCCUGAUUCUGAUUUUCUCCUACUUCUCAUGGGCUAGGAGAUUUUCUUUACAUGUUGGCCUGAAAUCUGGAUUUGGUGGUUAUUGCUGUGGAUGUAAUACCUGUGAGUGAGGAUGAUGUCAUCCACAGAGAGCAAAUAAAUGUGAAAGAGAAGAACGCCAUCAAUAGGACAGUGUCCUGCAUGAACAUGUCAUUUAUCAUGUCAACUUUAAUGCAUUGCCCCAAAUAAUUGUCUUGUUGGUAUUUGAAAGAUUUUCACUAGUUAAAUAUAUAAUUAUAUACAUAAAGAAAGUCUGACAGUUAUUAUAAAAUCAAAAGGCUCAGAUCCUUGAAAAAAAUGAGUGGAUAUACCUGAUCUCAGAUUGGGAAGUUUUUCUAACCAUGUCACCCAAAGCAGAAAACAUAAAGAAAUAAGACUGAUUAUAUAUCUAUAGGUAUUACAUUAGUCAAGUUUGAAAAACAAAGAAAAAGACUUCGUAAUCUAUAUGACACAUAAUCAAUAUUUUUAAUAUAUAAAUAGCUCAUACACCAAUAAGCAGAUGUUGAACAACCCAAUAACUGUCCAAUGAACAUGUUAGGUGUUAUUGUUCAAAGGGAAAUAUUUUUUACACGAAGGAAAAGUAUUAUUUUGUUAGUAUAAUUAAAAUGUAUUUAAUUAGUAACUAAAAUUGAAAUAUUGGAGGAAAAUGAGUAAAGAUGAGGAGAAAUUGCCGAGCAUUUAUUGUUGGAGUUCAAAUUAAUGAAGCUGAUGGUCCAACGAGAAUAAACUGUGUUAACUUCCACGCCCAGUGGCAUCAGAUAUUCCCUAAAUUUUUGGUACAGAAAACCCAUAAGAAAACAAGUCAAAGAGUAACUGGAGCUGAAGCUAGGUGUAAUCCAACUUGUUCUACCUUAAAGGAAGGUCUGGGGACAAGUUUGGGAGAGCUCUGGAACACAGAUGAUAAUAUGAAAUUACAACGGGGUAGUCUUGGGUUGUCAGUAAAACUUAAGAAUCUUCUUGGGAUGGGCGCCUAGGUGGCUCAGUUGUUAAGUGUCUGCCUUCGGCUCAGGUCAUGAUCCCAGGGUCCUGGGAUCGAGUCCCGCAUCAGGCUCCCUGCUCGGCAGGAAGCCUGCUUCUCCCUCUCCCACUCCCCCUGCUUGUGUUCCUGCUCUCUCUCUCUCUCUCUCUGUCAAAUAAAUAAAUAAAAUCUUUAAAAAAAAAAAAAGAAUCUUCUUGGGAGCUGCAGCCCUAUUGAUUCUCCUGCUAAUGUUGAUGUGGUUAGUACAAAUAAUGUAUGUUUUGUGGAUUCAUACUGUCUCCCCUGUUCUACUGAGUAGUUGAUGUGCUUGGAUGAAACUUAUGGACUUGGUAUUAUAGAGGGAACUCUCUGAAGAGGUGGGUUUUUGUAAACUAAUUUGAGAUGUAAUGAUGUCAGCCUGUAGCCUGUCAGCGUUUCGUUUCUUUUUCUUCUUUCUUCAUCUUUUUUUUUUUUCUGCCACCAAGAAGGGUUGAGACCUCCUAAAGGAGUUAAAAGAUAGCAGAACAUAAGAGAAAAUGUUAAUGCAGUUUAGUAGUCUGAUAAAUGCAGUGUUAAUAGCUUUUCAUCAAAUUAUCAAAAAAUUUUUUAAUUUUAAUAUUCAGUAUUAUCAGAUACUGUUGAUUGCCUAUCAAGACCUAUCCCACUUCAACUUAUUCCUUACUGGCAGAACCCUCAAGUUUACUGUAGGGUAAAAUACAGACUGGUUUAGGACUUAGCUAUUACUAUUACUCUUCCUGGUAGUUCCAUUCUCCUUAUCAGUGACUUAUUUAGGAGAGGGCAUGUCAACCAUUUCCAGAAAAUGAGAACUGAAGGCAGUCUACUAUUGGGCUUCUGGGAAAGAUUUCCUCAUUCUAGGAAGGAGACUCCAGGGGAUAUGAUCCAUUUUUACCUCUGGUUAUGGUCUUGCUGGAAUGUUUAGCCUAGAACUGCUUCAGAUGUUUUGUAAUCCUGAGGGGGAGUCAGCCUGAGGGCAAAGUAGAAAGAAGAAUGACAUUGUAAGACAUUUAAUCAAGCAAUCCUGAAAACUGCUCUACCAUUGGUCCUUUGUUAAAUGAGAUAUUUUCCCAUAUUAACUAGUUUCCAUUAGGCUUUCUUUUCCUUUUGGCUGAAUGAAAUCUGAUAUACCGUAUGAACAUAAGAACUUCAGUUCACUGCUGAUGGAGAAUCAAUUGGUUUAGUAUUUUCACAAGAAAAUUUCAUGAAACAUAUAAAAAGAUUUUGAUCUAGAAAAGCCACUUUAAUAAGAAAUUAAAUAAUUAUAUAUUAGUUUCAAGUUUACAUAUGGUAAUAUUGCUUAUAAUAAUGAAAAAUGGUAAAAACUAAAUUUCCAAUGACACAAUGAUUAAAUAGAUUUUAGACUAUUCAAACAAUGCCAUACUCCUUUUCAUCAAAUUAAAAAGUAUUUAAAAAUCAUACCGUAAUUGGUUAUACCAUAAAUGUGCAUAUGAGAAAACCUGUUACAACAAAGAAAAUAUGAUUUUAGUUGAUUAUGAAUAUAUCUUCCAUUUAUUUUUUCAUGAAACAGUUUUUUGAGUGUCACCAAUGUGCUAGGCAUUCUGCAAGGUGCUAUAGGUACAGUGGGUCCGUGCAAAAUAAGUUAUUGGACUCCUAGAGAUGACAUUCUAGAGAAGAAGACAAUGACCAAGGAGACAAAGUUGUUUUGGUUUUCUAACAAAGGGAAAAAGUAGGGUUGUGUGAUGGGAAGUAAAUGGGUUGAGGGUCGAAGCCAACAUUAGUGAGGUAGUCAGGGAGGCUCCUUCUGAAGUGGGACAUGAUGGGUGGAAAAUACUGCCCAUGCGUGAUCAAGGGGUGGAUGAGCAAAAACAUAAGUUCUAAUGUUAAAAAGGACUCAGCAUGCUGUAGAAGUAGAAACAAUGCCAGUGUGGUUGGUGCAGUGUGCUGGAGAUUGGAGAAAAUAGUAUCCAGUGGUGUUGGAGAGGUAGACAGGAUCUCACUCAUGAGUGAAGGCUUGUAAGCCCCAUAAGGAGUUGUGAUUUUAUUCUAAGAGCCAUAGAAAGCUAUUAAAUUAUUUUAAUUUGGAAGAUGGCACCAUGUGACUCUCAUUCCCUGGCUGCUGUGUACAGAAUGGACUGUAGGAACCGGGAGAAAAAUUAAGAAUCUAUAGUCAUGGGAUGUCUGGGUGGCUCAUUCGGUUAAGCAUCUGCCUUUGGCUCAGGUCAUGAUCUCAGGGUCCUGGAAUCAAGUCCCGUGAUGGACUUUCUGCUCAGUGGGGAGUCUGCUUUUCCCUCUCCCUCUGCUGCUCCCCCUGCUUGUGCAUGCUUACUUGCUCUCUGUCAAAUAAAAUCUUAAAAAAAAAAAAUCUAUAGUCAAAAGAGAAAUGGCAGUAAUGGCAGUAAUAUGGAGAAAAGUGGACUAAAUCGAUAUAUUUUGGAGGAUGAAUAGGUUUUUCUAAUGGAGUGUAUGUUGGUGGUAGUGGUUAUUAGAGAAAUAGCAAAAUAAGUGUAAAUCUCAAAAUAGGUCAUUAAAUAUGUAAGUCUGGAGUUCAGGGAUAAAGUCUAGGCUAGACAUUGUAUCCAGAAGAUGGUACAAAACACUGAUUUACUUUUCUUUUAAUCACCUACCACGGUACUUAGAGUCUUUCCCAGAUGAACACACAAGGAUCAAUUUUCAUUUUUCUCAUUGUUACCCCCACCCCAACCCCAGCCCUCAGACUUUUUCCUGGCUUUUUUUUAAACUCAGCUUUUUCC